rnacentral:rRNA from 1 species
CCGAAAGGCAGGAGUGCCUGCAAGGGAGCGCGGAGACAGGUGGUGCAUGGCUGUCGUCAGCUCGUGUCGUGAGAUGUUGGGUUAAGUCCCGCAACGAGCGCAACCCUCACCUCUUGUUGCCAUCAGGUCAUGCUGGGCACUCUAGAGGAACUGCCCCGGUCAACGGGGAGGAAGGCGGGGAUGACGUCAAGUCAUCAUGCCCCUUACGUCCUGGGCUACACACGUGCUACAAUGGCCGGUACAAAGGGAUGCCACACCGCGAGGUAGAGCUAAACCCAAAAAGCCGGUCUAAGUUCGGAUUGGAGUCUGCAACUCGACUCCAUGAAGGAGGAAUAGCUAGUAAUCGCGUAUCAGCACGACGCGGUGAAUACGUUCCCGGGCCUUGUACACACCGCCCGUCACACCACGAAAGCCAG